UAUAAGUGUGUAAAUAAAAUACGGUACUUUAUUAGUAUUUGUGAUCGCCAUGCAGGCGUGAAAACGAUAUUUUGUAUGGGUAAUUUUCUUCCGUGCUAGGUCAGCAUAAUGUGUAUAAUCAUCAUAAGUCAUCAACUUACAAAAAAGUGGAUAAUGAAGCGUGUAAGACGUACCUUUCAUAUGGUAAAGGAUGGGUACUGGGAUGCUUUGCAACUGACACUGUUUCAUUUAACGGAGUUGAGAUUGAAAACAGACCACUCAUUGAAGCUGUUGUAGCAUCCGAAGACUUCGCAACAGAUGAAUACGAUGGUAUAUUGGGAUUGGAUUACGCAAGAGGAAAGGAAUCUGAACACAUCGUAUCACAAUUUUGCAGAAAACUAAAUCAAAAUAAGUAGUACAUUUUCAUUCUACUUGAACAAGGAUAUAACAAAUACCAAUGGAGGUGAAUUAGUGUUAUGCGGGGUGGAUGAAUCGAAGUUUACCGGUCAGUUGCAUUAUACUAAUGUUGAAGAAUCCUCACCAUGGCCGUGGACAAUACCAGUGAAAAAAAUUUCGAUGCAACUUGGUGCAAAGACCAUUGAAUUGCCAACUUCAAACGAUACCGCAUUAAUUGACACUGGCACAUCCGUCAUCAUUGCACCGCCAAAGCAUGCUGCGAUCAUUUAUGAAGUUACAAGUGCCAUUGUAGAAAACGGCACGGCUUGGGUGGACUGUCAAACCAUUGAUGAGCUGCCCAACAUAACGUUCACGAUUGGUGAAAAAAAUUUCGUACUCACAGGACGCGACUACAUUUUACAAUCAAAAGAAACGGGUCAGAAAUGUGAGAUUGGCAUUGACGGGUAUUUCACUAAUAGUCGAUCAGUUUGGAUUUUUGGCGAUGUUUUCCUCAGAAAAUUCUACAGCACAUAUGACAUAGACAAUCAUCGAAUUGGACUGGCCGAAAGCAAACAUGAUUCAAUGUAACUGAUCGUCGCUUAUUGUCUGGCAAAUAAUACACUCAUCAUAAGGAAAGCAGUGCAGCCGGCAUAGUUUCUUCGAAUGCAGACAUGAGCACAAUAAGCACGGUCGCCUGAAUGAGCAAAAAGUAUUGAAAAAAAAAACUAAGCUUACUGCUCAAGUUUUUUCUAAUAUUUAAGUGAAUAUUUUAAGAAUUCAAUGUCAAAUCAAAAGCAG